UACGAAGGGUGCAAGCGUUACUCGGAAUUACUGGGCGUAAAGCGUGCGUAGGUGGUUCGUUAAGUCUGUCGUGAAAGCCCCGGGCUCAACCUGGGAAUGGCGAUGGAUACUGGCGGGCUAGAGUGCGGUAGAGGAGAGUGGAAUUCCCGGUGUAGCAGUGAAAUGCGUAGAGAUCGGGAGGAACACCAGUGGCGAAGGCGACUUCCUGGCCUGUUCUUGACGCUGAGGCGCGAAAGCUAGGGGAGCAAACGGG
rnacentral:rRNA from 1 species